AACGAACGCUGGCGGCGUGGCUAAGACAUGCAAGUCGAACGGAGUUCCCAAUUGAGUAAUCGAGAAGGAACUUAGUGGCGAAAGGGUGAGUAAUGCAUAGGUAACGUACCCCGGACAUUGGGAUAGCGGCGGUCUUCGGACCUUUAGCGAAAGUGCCGGUAAUACCAGAUGAUAUCUCGAGAUCGCAUGGUUUUGAGAUCAAAGGUUUCGGCCGGUCUGGGAGCGGCCUAUGUCGUAUCAGCUUGUUGGUGAGGUAACGGCUCACCAAGGCAGCGACGCGUACCGGGACUGAGAGGUUGGCCCGGCACAUCGGGACUGAGACACUGCCCGGACCUCCACGGAGGGCUGCAGUAACGGAUCUUGCGCAAUGGGCGAAAGCCUGACGCAGCGACGCCGCGUAUAGGAUGAAGCCCCUCGGGGUGUAAACUAUUGUCAGGGUGAAGAAAGGUCACUUCGGUGGCUUGAUCGAUCCCAGAGGAAGACCGCU
rnacentral:rRNA from 1 species